rfam:Picea glauca, whole genome shotgun sequence.
UCCAUGGUGUCUUUAGACACCACCAUUACUCUCAUAUCAAUUCCU